AGCCAUGUGGUGAACACAAAGCGAACUAUUCUUUCGCCUUUUACUAAAGAAUACCGUGUGUUCGUCACAUUUCAAUGGCAUAAAUUAAUUUUUGUUGGGUUUUAAUUCUCUUUGAGAU
rfam:Zostera marina strain Finnish scaffold_92, whole genome shotgun sequence.